AGCUCCAAUAGCGUAUAUUAAAGUUGCUGCAGUUAAAAAGCUCGUAGUUGCAUUUCCGAGGCAAGGGAUUAGUCCGACCUUUGGUGGGUAUUUAAUCCUCUUGCCUCGUCCUUGAGUGGUGCUUCUUGGUAUUAAGUUAUCGAGGAGAUAGCCGCUCAUCGUUUACUGUGAGAAAAUUAGAGUGUUCAAAGCAGGCUUAUGCCGUUGAAUAUAUUAGCAUGGAAUAAUAAGAUAGGACCUCGGUACUAUUUUGUUGGUUUGAGAACCAAGGUAAUGAUGAAUAGGGACAGUUGGGGGUAUUCGUAUUCAGUUGUCAGAGGUGAAAGUCUUAGAUUUACGGAAGACGAACUACUGCGAAAGCAUUUACCAAGGAUGUUUGCA
rnacentral:rRNA from 1 species